rnacentral:misc_RNA from 1 species
GUCUAAUACGACCAAGCUAAUAUUGCUUGAAUCACUUCUACAAGAGGUGUGUAUCAGCUCUGGCUUGAUGGGUCGCUCACCUUGAGUUCGCUCGGGUUGAGUGUCUGUCUUAGUCAGUCACAAACUUGUUUAUUCAGGGCUAAAGAGAGCCCACUU